rnacentral:rRNA from 1 species
UACGAGGGGUCCUAGCGUUGUUCGGAAUCAUUGGGCGUAAAGGGUGUGUAGGUGGCCAUUCAAGUCAGUUGUGAAAUCCCCGGGCUCAACCCGGGAAGUGCUUCUGAUACUGUUUGGCUUGAGUACUGGAGAGGAUAGUAGAAUUCCUGGUGUAGUGGUGAAAUACGUAGAUAUCAGGAGGAAUACCGGUGGCGAAGGCGGCUAUCUGGCCAUGUACUGACGCUGAAACACGAAAGCGUGGGAAGCAAACAGG